UUAAGGCCUUCUUUGGAUCAUAGGAACUUUAUAGAAAUUUCAGAGGAUUUAGUUCCUAAGGAAAAAAUCCUAGAAGACUCCUUUGGCUGAUACAAAAAGAGAGGAAAAUUCCCCUAGGAUUUAAUCCCAUCACAAGGAUUCCAUAGGAAAAAUAAAAAGAGCUUCAACCUCAUGGAAAAUUUCCUGGCGCCAAAAGCGAACGCUCCCGCGCUUCCUUGGCUCUCACGCGACUUGUCUGCUUCCUCCACCACGUAACAUAAAAAAACACGGACCGAUCAUCAGAGAAAAAAAAAGUCUGGACCGACUCUCUCCGUCUCUCGUCCCUGUCGCCGCACUUCGUCCCCAUCGUUGGUCCCAGCAGCGAGGACCUCCUCAAUGAGUACACACGCGCCCAGAGAUAUACAAGCUCGUUUGUGGUGUUCUUCCCCAAUAGCAAGGUAAGUUUCCUUUUUCUUCAUUUACCAAACCCUAUAAAUCACAUUUUAUUUAGAUUUUGGAAGUUUUCUUUGUACUGGUACUGGAGUUUGAAUGGAUCUAGAGAUUUGGGAGCAAUCUAUUUUCGUUUUUCUUGAAGUAGAUCGGGAUAUUUGGGAAUAACUUGUACGGGGGACUCUCGUCCAUCCGCUACAGAUUGGGAGAUUUGGGAAGGAGCCACACUCGUCACCUGAACGCACACACGGACGGCCUGCAGGUACAGGUAGCGGAUCUGCAGCACCUGCUACUCGUCCAGUCACCCGUCCGGCUCCAGCAGCACUCUUCUGCCGCCAGGAGGAUUGCACACACCAAACAUAUGUGUGAGAUGUAGAACUGCCCAUUUGUGUUUGGCCAAAACAAUUUUAAGACGUUUAAUUCUACAACUUCCAGAGAAGAAAAAUCCCCACUUUUCAGUAUGGAGCUACCUUCAUGAUCGGUGGUCACAUAUUUGUCACUUAAUAUUCACUUGAUCUUAUAGUAAAAUAGAUUAGAUAUUUCUAGUUCCUAUUUGAUGUUGUAUAUAUCAUUGUAUUAGGGAACGUGUCUUAUCUAAUGGAGGAGGCCGUAACCCUCAGUCGCUUGUUGAUGUUGACGGGGACCAUGGGUCUGCAACAGCUACUCAAGAAAUAGGUGCCCCAAAGAGAGCCAAGUGGAUCCAUGAGAGGAAGUUGUUCCUUAUUCAGCUACUAAAGGAUCACGAUGUGCCGGGUUUUAGAACACAAAAUGCUUGGUGUAAGGAGGCAUGGAACAACAUUGUUCGUCGCUUGAAUGAAAAAUUUGGUACAUCGUAUACUAUUGGCCAAGUCAAACAGAAGGAGCAAGAUUUGAAGAAAGAUUAUCGCAGUGUUAAAGAAUUGGUGGAGCAAAGUGGUUUUGGAUGGAAUGGUGAGAGAAUGAUGGUGGAAGCACCAGAUAGUGUUUGGGCAUCUUUUGCUGCUCGCAAGAAUAACGAGUCAGCCCUCCAUUGGAGAGACAAGUCAUUCCCAUACUAUGAUGAUUUAUCAAAGCUGUAUGAUGGUCGUUAUGCUGAAGGAAGAACUCGUCAAGGUAUGGAUCAUUAUGCAAACAAGACGAAGAAAGCAUCGGCUCCUGGAGGACAAGCAACAACUGUAGCAGAAACAUAUCAGUCACCAUCUCCUACUUUAAAUGGUGUAGAUGAAUUGGGAUUGCAAUUUUCUUUUGAUGAAGAAAUUGAGGGAAAUUUGGGCUUAUCACAAUACCCAUCUGCUUAGGUUCAUGAAAAGGAAGUCCCACCUAGUUCCACACAAAUAACUUCAGAGCUUCCUGAUUCUCGACGUGGAAAGAAGAAAAAAAACAAAUCUGCUAGCCCUCCUGAUGGAUUUCAUGAAAGAUACCUAAAACUAAAGAAAGAAGAAAUAGAUCGAUUUGCUGCCAUUGAAGAGAAGAAAUUGGAAGAUCCUUACAGCAUCAACAAGUGUAUUACUGUGCUUGAAGAUUUGGAUGGUCUGCAAGUGGGAGAUCUAUUGAUGGCAUCUGAUAUAUUCAAGAUUAAGGAUAACAGGGAAGUAUUCUUAUCAUUUAAAAAUGACGCAUUAAGAUUAGCUUGGAUUACAAGGGAGAUUGGUAAGAUAGCAGAUCACCAGAAUUAGAAAUAGAAAGCAAGUAAGGCAUCUAAUCUUUUGGUAUAAUUUAGAGCCUCUAAUCUUUUGGCAAGCAAAGGUUCUAAUCUUUUGGUAAGUAGAACAUGCUUUUUACUAAGCUGACCUGGGUAGUCUGUGUUUGUUAUGUAUUUUGGUAAGGAGGUAACCUUAUCUCAAGUUCUGGACUCCAAUCAUGUCUAAGAAGAUAAAUCGAUAUGGAAAUAUAUUAUCAUAUAAAGAUUGCGUAGUUUACAUUAUGUUACAUUAUGUUAAAUUAUCAUAGAAUAAAUUAUCAAUAAUAUGUUAUGUAUUUUGUACUCAUACCUGGAAAAAGGGGUAAAAUUGGGGUCUGCUUAAGAUUGGAUGGGGUUGCAAGGAAGGUGGACAUAUGUAGACACAUGUGAGCUGUGUGAUUGCAUCAAGAACCGCUGCAAAGUGUCGACUAAUUGUUUCUCCACUAUGUUGAAAAAAUUCUUGUAAGGUUUCAUUACUUGCAUUUUUUGCCAUUGCAUAUAAGAAAAUAGCAACUUGCUCUUCCACUGCAAUUGCUCUUGUAUCAGCAAGGAGAUUUUUUCACGCAAUUUAUUGACCAAGGCUUGAAAAAUUCCAACCUCCAUUCGGAAAUGUCUUUUGCAUAAACUCUCAUGUCCUGUUAAUAUCUCUGUAACUCGUCGAGCCCCUGUCA